GUGAGGAAUAUUGGACAAUGGGCGCAAGCCUGAUCCAGCCAUGUCGCGUGCAGGAAGACGCAUCUAUGGUGUGUAAACUGCUUUUGUACGGGAAGAAACACUCCCUCGUGAGGGAGCUUGACGGUACCGUAAGAAUAAGGAUCGGCUAACUCCGUGCCAGCAGCCGCGGUAAUACGGAGGAUCCAAGCGUUAUCCGGAAUCAUGGGGUUUAAAGGGUCCGUAGGCGGUUUAAUAAGUCAGUGGUGAAAGCCCAUCGCUCAACGAUGGAACGGCCAUUGAUACUGUUAGACUUGAAUUACAAGGAAGUAACUAGAAUAUGUAGUGUAGCGGUGAAAUGCUUAGAUAUUACAUGGAAUACCAAUUGCGAAGGCAUGUUACUACUUGUGGAUUGACGCUGAUGGACGAAAGCGUGGGGAGCGAACAGGAUUAGAUACCCGGGUAGUCC
rnacentral:rRNA from 1 species